rnacentral:rRNA from 1 species
ACGGAGGGUGCGAGCGUUAAUCGGAAUUACUGGGCGUAAAGGGUACGUAGGCGGCUUUAUAAGUCAGAUGUGAAAUCCCCGGGCUUAACCUGGGAACUGCAUUUGAAACUGUAUGGCUAGAGUAAGUGAGAGGUUAGUGGAAUUCCAGGCGUAGCGGUGAAAUGCGUAGAGGUCUGGAGGAACAUCAGUGGCGAAGGCGACUAACUGGCACUAUACUGACGCUGAGGUACGAAAGCGUGGGGAGCGAACAGGA